UGCAGUUCAGUCAAACUGGGCUAUUUGCCACUCUCCUCCACCAUUUUCCUGCUUUUGUUUCUUUGCUUGUGAUGUCAUCAUUGACUGGAAUGCUCAUAUUUUCUCUGCUGAAUUCCCAACAUUUAAAGCCCAAGUCAGAUACCACCAACUCCAGGAAACCUCUGGUCCAAGGAGUAGUGAAUCAGAAGAUGGAGAUGGAUGUUAAGGGAGUUUCUCAGUGCCCGGAGCCCAUCCCCCACUCUCAGGGGGCUGGCGGAGGCUGUCAGCAGCCACCGCCGCCGCCACCGCCGCCGCCGCCGCCACCGCCGCCGCCGCAGGAUGAGCAGCCUGGGGAAAGUGCGGCCGCCGGGGACAGCCACCCAGAGAAGAGACCAAACAGUGAGAAAGAAGACAAAAAGUACUUCAGUGACAGAACCCAACACGUGUGUGUUUGGCGAGGCUGGUGGAGGUUAACAAGGAGCUGA
rnacentral:lncRNA from 1 species